rnacentral:pre_miRNA from 1 species
AGUGGGAUAACUGGGUCAAAUGGUGGUUCCAUUCCACAUUUUCUGAGGAAUUGCCCUACUGCUUUCCAGAGUGGUUGCACCAAUUUGCAGUUCCACCAGCAAU